AGUGAACGCUGGCGGUAGGCCUAACACAUGCAAGUCGAACGGCAGCACAGUAAGAGCUUGCUCUUACGGGUGGCGAGUGGCGGACGGGUGAGGAAUACAUCGGAAUCUACUUUUUCGUGGGGGAUAACGUAGGGAAACUUACGCUAAUACCGCAUACGACCUACGGGUGAAAGCAGGGGAUCUUCGGACCUUGCGCGGUUGAAUGAGCCGCUGUCGGAUUAGCUAGUUGGCGGGGUAAAGGCCCACCAAGGCGACGAUACGUAGCUGGGCUGAGAGGAUGGUCCGCCACACUGGAGCUGACACGCGGUCCAGACUCCUACGGGAGGCAGCAGUGGGUAAUAUUGGACAAUGGGCGCAAGCCUGAUCCAGCCACACCGCGUGGGUGAAGAAGGCCUUCGGGUUGUAUAGCCCUUUUGUUGGGAAAGAAAAGCAUCAGGUUAAUACCCCGCUGUUCUGACGGUACCCAAAGAAUAAGCACCGGCUAACUUCGU
rnacentral:rRNA from 1 species